rnacentral:rRNA from 1 species
AUUGAACGCUGGCGGCAUGCUUUACACAUGCAAGUCGAACGGCAGCGCGGGCUUCGGCCUGGCGGCGAGUGGCGAACGGGGGAGUAAUACAUCGGAACGUGCCCAGCAGUGGGGGAUAGCUCGGCGAAAGCCGGAUUAAUACCGCAUACGACCUGAGGGUGAAAGCGGGGGAUCUUCGGACCUCGCGCUAUUGGAGCGGCCGAUGGCAGAUUAGCUAGUUGGUGGGGUAAAGGCCUACCAAGGCGACGAUCUGUAGCUGGUCUGAGAGGACGACCAGCCACACUGGGACUGAGACACGGCCCAGACUCCUACGGGAGGCAGCAGUGGGGAAUUUUGGACAAUGGGCGAAAGCCUGAUCCAGCAAUGCCGCGUGUGUGAUGAAGGCCUUCGGGUUGUAAAGCACUUUUGGCGGGAACGAAAAGGACUGUGCCAAUACCACGGUUCGAUGACGGUACCCGCAGAAUAAGCACCGGCUAACUACGUG